UCCCUGGUGGUCCAGUGAUUGGGACUCUGCACUUCCAAUGCAGGGGAGGCAGGUUCAAUCCCUGGUCGGGGAA
rfam:TPA: Bos taurus chromosome 24, whole genome shotgun sequence.